GGUAGAAAUUGGUACUUGCUUGGAGAAAGCACGACAAGAGGGAAAGAAGGCUGGCUUCAAGGGCCCACACGCGUUUAUCGAAUGAUUACUGGGUAACUCUGUUGACAUUAACCAAAUUGGAACUGUUCCCUUGGAGAGUUCAUCAAUGAGCUUGACGCCUUGAUUCCUUUCCUGAGGAAGUUCCUUUCCUGAUGAUGGCUCACCUCUCACAGUUCUGGACCAUUUCCGGAGACCUUCUCCCUUACCUCACCUCGCUCAUCAACUCAUCCUUGACCGCUGGCUACGUCCCUUCUGUCUUCAAGAGAGGCUUGGAUUGCGUCCUACCUGAC